rnacentral:lncRNA from 1 species
GAAGGGUUAGCACCCUCGUAACGCCCAAAAUUGGUACUGAAUUGAUUGUUUAAUGUCUUAGUGUCGAGAAUUUGAAAAGAUUUUAAAAUACGAUCUUUUGAAAAGAAAAUUUGAAUAAAACUGAAUUGGAUGAUAAGACGUACUCAUUUCAAAGGGAUAAAUUGUCAUACUCAAUAAGUUAGGGUACAACAAUUUAAUCUUCG